CCUACGGGAGGCAGCAGUGGGGAAUAUUGCACAAUGGGCGCAAGCCUGAUGCAGCCAUGCCGCGUGUGUGAAGAAGGCCUUCGGGUUGUAAAGCACUUUCAGCGGGGAGGAAGGCGUUAAGGUUAAUAACCUUGGCGAUUGACGUUACCCGCAGAAGAAGCACCGGCUAACUCCGUGCCAGCAGCCGCGGUAAUACGGAGGGUGCAAGCGUUAAUCGGAAUUACUGGGCGUAAAGCGCACGCAGGCGGUCUGUCAAGUCGGAUGUGAAAUCCCCGGGCUCAACCUGGGAACUGCAUUCGAAACUGGCAGGCUAGAGUCUUGUAGAGGGGGGUAGAAUUCCAGGUGUAGCGGUGAAAUGCGUAGAGAUCUGGAGGAAUACCGGUGGCGAAGGCGGCCCCCUGGACAAAGACUGACGCUCAGGCGCGAAAGCGUGGGGAGCAAACAGGAUUAAUACCCCUGUAGUC
rnacentral:rRNA from 1 species